AAAAAAAAAAAAAAAAAAAAGAAGGUGGGGGGUGGGGUGGGUUGGGGAUGUCCCACUGCUAGUAAUUGUAGCUCCUCUGUCUGAACCUUUUUACAUUAUUAGUUUCUGCAGCACUGAUAUAAAUAAUGACAUUAAUGUGGAUAUAUGAUUCAUUUUUGCUUUUGUAAAGGAAUCAUUUCUUUAUUUUUAAAAAAUAUUUUUCCAUAUAUUUUUUAAAAAAAUUGAAGUGCCUGGAGUGCUAGUCAUCAAGCUUUACCUUCCGCAGAUGAUUUUUUCUUUUUUCAUGUAAAUCCAUUAUAAAGUUAAUGGAGUCGUGCUUGUAUCUUUAUGAUAAAGAGGAAGAGAGAGAGAGAGAAACACCUUCUUCUAUCAUGGCCCAUCUCCAACAUAAAGCUUACAGCCUAAGGAGUAGUAGCUUCUGAGAACUUAAAAAAGCAACUGGGAAUAAUAUUGUCACCACUACUUCCACAAACCAUCUUAAAACAAGUCAUAAUUGGGCUUAAAACAAACUCCAACUGGGAAACACCACCUUAUUUCUAUAUUAUCACGGUCCUCUCCUCAUAUAUACAAAUGGAAAGACAGGGUACAAGUAGUAGCUAAAGCAAGUUCCUAGUGGAGCUUGUCGGCAAGAUUGCACUGCUUUCUGAUCUCCCCCUUUGUGCCGGUGAGAGGAUUGUUCUCAGAGAGAACGGUGAUGGCUCUUGCAGAUUCUUUGAAGAAGUAGCCUUCAUUCUUUGCCAUUUUCUUUACAUAUUGUCUGGUCUUUUUAUCUACAGCUAGUUGGUGGUCUACCAACAUCAAUUCCUUGUUGUCCAAUAUGUUCCUGUAGUAGUUGUUGUCUAGCCUCAUACGUGUGCCUCUGUCAUUUCCCACAUACUGCACGACGUUUGGGUUAGGGAUUGGAUCCGGGCAUUUCUUGAGCAUGUGGGGUACGUGUUCAUGGUUGAGUUGAGGGUCCACCUCGGGAUGUAAAUGGUGAACCAGCUUAAUACAGUGUGUUCUUCCCACACCUGUGAGCACCUGCAAGAGAAAUGACACAUAAUUAACUUUGAUCUCUUUUUCUCCCUCUCCUAUUAAUGGAUCCGAGAAUUAGGGUUUUGCAUGAUCAAGCCAUGAAGAAAAUAUUUAUUAGAAAUGCAAGAUAAGGUUAUGUAUAAUCACAAUAUGGUCGUCUCUUCCCAUGACCUCAUGCAUAGGGAGAGUUUAGUGCAUCAAACUGUCCUUUUUUUCUUCUUUUUAUUUUUGUUAAUAAUUGAUCUAAGAAACUCAAGGUAUAGUGGAAUGUAUAUGCCUAGCAAGGCAACAACUCCAGGAGUGUUAAUUCCAAUGUUGUUAAAUCUCUCAAGCACAACACUCAUGCUUUCAUUGCGGUCUAGGAGGUGUUGCUCAAGAAUAUCUGCUCUGCUUCUCCUUGUUAGCUUUUGAAACUACAGAGAAAACAAAUAGGUUUAGCAGAAACUUUUUUCAUUCAUUUCAUAUUCCAAAAGGUAUACACACAUAUAUCUACAUAAUACACUUCAAAAGUUAGUAGGACACCUAACUUAUCCAACCACUAUUGUCCUUUCUUACAAGACAUAUUCCACAAAACAAGGACUACCAUUCCUUUACAAACUAAACAAAAUAUCAAACUAGGAAAUAUUAAAUUAAAGACUAUCCAGUCUAACACUCCUCCUUGAUAUUUUUCAUGGAUACUCCUAGCUUAGCCCUUAGAACUUCAAAUUUCCCCUUAGGAAGAGCCUUGGUCAUGAUGUAUGCAAUCUGCUGAUUUGAGCUGCAAUGAACAAGCUUAACUUCGCCAUCCUUCUCAGCUUGCCUGAUAGUGUGAAACUUCACAUUUAUAUGCUUGCUACGACUAUGAUGCACCGGAUUUUUGGCCAUCGAUAUUGCUAACUUGUUGUCAACCUUAAUGACAGUAGCUUCAAUGUCAUUUUGCUCUGAAUCAUAUAAAAUAUUUCUUAACCAUAGAGCCUGAUUAGUUGCACCAACAACAGCGAUGUAUUCUGCUUCUGCAGAAGAUUGAGCUACCACCUCUUGCUUCUUUGAAUUCCAUGAGAACAAGCCUGAACCAAGUGUAAAAGCAUAUCCAGAAGUUCUUUUCAUAUCAUCAACACUUCCUGCCCAAUCACUAUCCGAAUAACCCAUCAAUUGCCCUUGCUCUUCCUUUUUAAACAAAAUACCAUAAUUAGCGGUUCCCUUGAUAUACCUCAACAAUUGUUUAGGGACACCAAGAUGAACUAAACUUGGAGCAUGCAUGAGCCUCGACAAAAGACUUGCCGUGAACAUAAGAUCAGGUCUUGUUGCUGUUAAAUAUAGAAAACUACCAAUUAGACUUUUAUAAACUGUUGGAUCAGCCCUAUCACCUUCUUCAAACUUCAAAAUCUUUUCAUUCUGAACCAGUGGGGUCGAUACAGGCUUGCACCUGUCCAUCUUGAACCUUUUAAAAAUAUCCUAUGCAUAUUUUCUCUGAGAAAUGAAGAUUCCAUUAGUAGCUUGAUGAAUCUCCAUUCCCAGAAAGUAAGUCAUUUCACCCAAAUCCGACAUUUCAAACUUGGUCUCCAUUUCUUGCUUGAACUAAUUCAUCAUAGCUUCAUUACUUCAUGUUAACAGAAGGUCAUCAACAUGGAGUGACACCAUAAGCACAUCUCUGCCUUUAGCUUUCUUAACAUAUAAAGUGACUUCAUUUUCACUUCUCUUGAAGCCAUAAUGAAUGGGAUCAGCAUCAUUCUUACUGUAUCAGGCUCGAGGAGCCUGCUUUAAUUUGUACAAUGCCUUAUUUAGUCUGUAGACUUUAUCCUUCAUUCCUGCAACUUGAAAGCCUUCUGGUUGAUCAACAUAAAUCUCCUCCUGCAACAGCCCAUUUAAGAACGCCGAUUUCAUAUCUAGAUGAUACAAAUUCCAAUUUGCUUGAGCUGCCAAAGCAAACAGAAGCCUUAUUGUAUCAUGUCUCGCAACAAGUGCAAAUGUGUCUCCAUAAUCUAGACUAGCAACUUGUGCAUAACCUUUCACAACAAGCCUUGCUUUGUACUUAUAAACUGAAUUAUCUGGAUUAAGUUUGGUUGUAUAAACCCAUUUCACCCCUAUAACAUUUUUUUCUUUGGUUUUAUCAACAAGCUUUCAAGUGUCAUUCUUCUCGAUCAUACCAAUUUCCUCCUUCAUAGCUUUAAUCCAAACUUCUUGUCUUGAUGCUUUUUGAUAGCUAGUUGGUUUAGAGAUUGCAACAUUUCAGCUUUCGUAUAUAUUAGAAAGGGAAUUAUCUUCAAAUUGGCGAAUUAAGUGAGGAUUCCCCGUCUGCUUCUUCAUCUUCUUCCAGAUUUUCAGAGCCAACAGAUUGUGUCGCAGGCAGCGGAAGCAAGUUCUGAGAAACUGCAUUUUCUUGCUCAAUUUGCUCCUUAUCCCCGUUCCAAUAAGCAUGCUCAUCCACUACUACAUCUCUUCUAAUGGAAAACUCUAUAACCCUUGGCUUGAGACGAAUAUCCAAUAAAAAUCCCUAAUUCACCUUUUGAUUCAAGUUUGCUUCUAUUGACUGAAGGAACAUGAGAAUAGCAUAUUGAACUAAAGAUUUUUAAAUGCUUGGCAGUUGGCUUUAUUCCACUCCAUGUCUCAAUAGGAGUCUUUCCAUCCACAGCUUUUGUCGGCAGCCUAUUUAACAAAUACACCGAAGUAUGAACAACUUCUGCCAAAAGCUUUGCGGUAGUUUCUUUUCCAACAACAAACAUCUAACCAUUUCAACUAUAAUCCUGUUCUUCCUCUCUGAGACCCCAUUCUAUUCGAGUGCAUAGCUUACUGUCAUCUUGUGAUAAAUCCCCAUAUCUUCGCAAUACUUAUUGAACUCAUUUGAAGUGUAUUCUCCACCAUUUUCCGACCUCAAAGCCUUUAGCUUACAACCACUAUGUCUUUCAGCAAAAGCUUUGAAUUUCUUGAAAAUUGAAAUUACUUAAGACUUAUUACUCAGAAAAUACACCCAAGUCAUCCUUGUUAAGUCAUCAAUAAAGAGGACAAUGCCCAAAGAUGGUGUCUGCAUAGGUCCACACACAUCAGUAUGAACUAGCUCAAGUUUUUCAAAUGCCCUCCAGGUAGCACUUUUAGGAAAUGCUUUCCUGUGUACCUCACCCAUUGACAUGAGCUAACAGUGAGAUUUUAGGUAAAUCCUUAGACAAGCCCUUUUCAUGCAUAGACUUUAAGGUGGCAUAGUUAAAAUGCCCAUAUCUUUUGUGCCACAACCAUGACUCGUCCAAACUCGCAAAAUUGGCACUAUCAAGAUUCCUGUCUAAAGGAAAGAUUUUAUUCACCAUUUCUACUUUAAUAACCAAACUAUCUUCAGAGUAAAAAACCAAACAAUGCUUACCCUUAAAAAAUAAAGAAUAACCUUUCGACAUCAUUUGAGCAACACUUAACAGAUUACAUGCUAAACAAGAAGCAUACAACACAUCACGUAUAAAUUUUGUACCUUGUUUAGCCUAAAAGGCAACUGAACCCUUCCCAUGUGCUUCUAUCGUUUCACCAUUUCCCAUCCUGACUUUAGUUCUAAUUGACUUGUCAAGUGUCUGAAACAGAAGCUCAUUGUGUGUCAUAUGACUCGCACAUCAACUAUCUAUGAACCAUGUGGAUCUGUUGGUUGUGUUUUUUUCAUCAGAAGCACAAAUAUGCCUUCUUCUUCCUUUUCUAACUCUUCAAUAAAAUUUGCCUAUUGCAUAUGGUUUUGUUGUGGUUGGUUCUGCUUGAUCCUACAAUUCUUCUCAAUAUGACCCAUUUUUCUAUAGAAUCUGCAUUGAAUAGAUGGCUUUCCCUUGAACCAGCAGUCCUUUUCUUGAUGAUUGGUUCUUUUACAAUGGUUGCAAGGUGGAAACUUCCCUUUCUUUGAAGAUUCCUUCCAUGUUUUCCCCUUUGCUAAUUUAUCUCCUUCCAUCCUUUUAUUGUCCUUCGCAGGCUGCUUGCCUUUAUGCUUUUCUUGAAAUGCCACUGCUGCUACUUCUUCAUCUCUUAUACUUGAUCUUUAUUCUUGGGCUUGCAACUUGCCUAUCUAUUCUGCUACUGAUAAAGUCUUCAAAUCACAAGAUUCCUCUAUUGCUGAAAUCUUGGACUCAAACCUUGCUGGUAAGCUUAUCAUCAUCUUCUCGACCACUUUUAAAUCUGGAAAGACUUCACCAAACAAUCUGAUUUUAUUUACAAUCUCCAAAAGUUUGGCAGAGUAGUCUUUCAUAGUAUCUCCUUCCUUUAUCCUUAACGUCUCAAAUUCUCUUCUGAGAGUUAGGAGUUUGACAGUCUUCACUCUGUCACUUCCAUCGAACUCCUCUUUUAGCUUCUCCCAUGCUUCUUUAGGUGUCUCACUAGCCAUUAUUCUUGUAAAAAUCACUUAUGAGAGUGCUGAAUUAAGAUAUGUGAGAGCCUUUGGUUUCCUGUAGUGCUGAAUGAAGACAUGCUGAAUUCGUAUUUGCACUUGCCUCAUUUAAAAAGGAAAGUGUCUCGGGGAAGUACGGUUGUCCAUCCAUGCUUGAGGUCGACUUGAUCUAGGAAAGUUAGUGGGCCUCGUUGGACCCACCAAUGGAUAGGAGUUUACAAUAAACAUGGGCAUACAUUGAAUUAGUUUUUAACUCCAGGACAUAAAUUAAAUUACAAGGCAAAAAAUUUAAAUUACAACAGAAUUGGGCUAGGCCCAUAAUUAUUAAGCAAAUAGGGAGGGACAGGUUAUGCAAAGGGGACAUUUUUCUCAAAUAUUUCGGCUAAAACAGUAGACCGGCCCAACUACUAAAUAAGCAAUAUAAAGAGGUCCAGUCGAAUAAAGAGAUGAGCCCAGAACCCAGGGCCCAAACCAAAGCAUUCUCGAAUUUUACUAAGUGUCAAAACUGAAUAUACAUGAUAUACCCCAUGAUAUACACCUAAUGGAGAGCAAAACACAAUAGCAUACCCUCCAUAUACCUGAUAUACACCCCCUUAUACUUAGUCAAUCCAACUCCUAUAAACGUAUACAUAGCCAAAGUCUUAGGCUACUAAUUAACUUCUAACAUCACAAAUAGGUCUUAAGACCAGUAUCAACAAACAACCAGUUAAGAAUUUUAAAGGGUUCCAAACAGUUCACUUUCAAGCCCAUAUCAAACAUUUAACUACCAGGAAAGACCAAACAAACUCCUUGAGGUUUUAUAUUAUCCAAAUUUGAAGUAAACUAUCAACAAAUUCAGAGUGAAAGUAAUACAAAAAUGACAGGAUAACAAGGAAUACAAACAAGAAUAGAAAUGUGCACAACAGCUAGGACACAGAAGUCAUAUUGAUUUUGGUUUUAGUAUAGCUAGCUAAUCAGUAGUGUAGGGUAAAAUAUCAAAGAGAUUCAAGCAAGUAUUUCUAAACUUUCUACAUGUUGACCCAAAUUCUAUCUUUUAAGGUGAGAAAAUGCAUAGACAUGGUAGUCUAGGUGUGGUCUGCCACUUUCAAUCAAUAUUAGUCUAUUGUAGAAUCAAAAUGACAAAACAAUGCCAGUUUUGAGGCUUAACAAAUCCCCAAACUUUAAGUUUUUCCAAGUUUGAACUUAACAAGUUUCAAAAGUUAUCUUUUGCCAUGCCAGAUUGUAAUAUGUCACAAAGGAAAGUCUCAAAUGAUGAUUUAGCCAUAAGUUGAUUCCCAGAAUGAACAAAUAGUUCAAAGGCUUAAUAUAAGAACUCACAAUAAGCUACAUAGAUGGUCUAGUAAAUCAUAGGGUAUUCCAACAUGUAGAUCAUAUAGGACACUUGUAAAGGUUUUAACUGGUUUCCUAGUCUCAAACUUAUCUCUAGGACUACUCAAAUGAACUAAGGCACAAGUAGAGGUCACAUAUGGUCAUAACAGAAAGGGUUCAUAGCAAAAUACUCAAGUCUGAGUUGCAUGAUCAAGUCAAGAGAAGUAUAGGUUUCAUGACACUCAUCCUAGGUCUUAAAUGGCAUCUAGGAGACAAGAAUAUAUAAGCAGAAUCAUCAAGUAAUAGGAAAUGGGAAAAGGACAAAUGCAUAAGCAACUUAUAAUUAUUGAACUCACCACUUCAUUUUUAUCUUUUCUUAACUCAUCAAUAUUCCAAGUUAAACAGAAUUCUUAAGGAUUUUUCAGUAGAUGUUUUGUCACACAUAGAGCAUGAAAGUAAGCCUUAAGAUCACAUAGGAAGGGGAAGGAAGAGACCAGGUAGCAAAUAAACAAAUAUAGCACUCAACUCCUAAUCAAAGUUACAUCCAGUUCUUCUUCUUUUUAAAUUCAUAGUGUCAAAUGAUCAGAACAUCAGCCAAUGAAUCAAAACAGGCUAGCAGUAUCUACACUAAUACAAAAUAGGCUAGUAGUAUCUACACUAAUACAUCCUCAACCAUAUUUUCAAUGAUAGACAGGAUUCAAACUUCAAAUGUCAAACCAGAAUAACUUAAGGGUUGCAAGUAGGUGAGUAAACAAGUAAGCCAACUCCAUUCUCAAUAUUUAAAGCCAUUUCCAAGCAAAACAUAAGUCCAAUAUAUCUUCCUAUAUUAUAACUUUUUAAAACAGUUUUUAAGCAUCCAAGUUAAGUAAGAACAUAUAGCAAACUAAACAUGAAUAAUAUUCAAACUUCAAGUCAAAGUAACUCAGCAAGUAGGAUUUUCACAGAAUUCCUUUUUUAAGUCUUAGGCAAAGUUUUCUGUUCAAGUUCAGCCAAUUUUAAGAGAUUCAGGGAUGAAAAUAAGCAAGGUUACUCCUAGGGUCCAAACCUAGACUAGUGUCAAAAAUCAUCCAAGCAAUGUACAGAUCUUUGAGGUUUCAAAAUUGCAUUUUUCAGACUCAAGCUAUUCCAAAACUCACAAGAUAUCCUCCUAAGUUAACUAAGUGAGGCAGUUCUAUAGGUUCUAAGCAGUUUUAAGUAGGGACAAAUUGGAGAAAAUAGUGAUUCAAUAUUUCAAAUUCAAUAGCUUAUUCUAAGUUGCAUUGCAACAUUUAGCAAAAGUCACAUAGAAGUAGUUUUUACAAAGAAAUAGGUUUCAAUUUAUUAACUAACCUCACAUAAACAACUUUAUGAUUUCAAAAUCGUACAAACUACAUUCCAAAUCAGUUUUCAAACUUAUUAAACUACUUGGAUAGGCUAAUAAGUCAUAAACGCCAUUCAGUUGUCAGUUCUAAAUCAAAAUGAAAACAUAAACAGAGUUUCAGGUUUACAAACUAAAUUCUAGUAGUGACUUAAAAUCUUUGAAAUCAUUUUUUUCACAAAAAACUAGAAACGUAUUAAUCACAAAUCAAGUUAUCAAACACUUAGCCUAGUUAUGUAUCAAAUUUUUAGUAGUUUAGACAGUAAAGGGAGUGAUAGGUCAUAAUCAUCCAACCAAAAGCAAACUCAGGAUAUUCAGCUUUCAUAAAACCUUAUUCCAUACUUACAAAUAACUCCAUGAAUCAUUUUAAAGGAAAACUUACUAACUUAAGACAAUUUUCAACAUAUCAAGCAAAUAUACUACUCUAAAAUGAACUUAAGCAAUUAACAGAAAUCAUAUUCAACUACAUGGCAGCAAAAUAGAAUCUAGAAUCUGAAAUAAACCAUAGGAGUUAUUUCCAGAUUUCAGAACAACUAUAUCUUACCCAAAAUCAAAGCUAAGUACUCCUAUCCUAUCAAAACAGUCUCCAAAACUACCACAGUUUCAAAACACAAAGCUAAAAAGCAUGAGAUUAUAAUUUCAAAUAUAGAUUAUAGCCAACUAAACUUCUUGUCCUAAUUAUCUAACUAGCUACCCUUAAACCAAACUUAAAAAAAAAAAACUUAGACCCCCCAUUUUCAGUUAUUUCUUCCUAUUUUUUAAACUAGUAAGUUAUAAUGUCUAUGUAACACCCCGUACCUUUAACCUAAGCUUUGACCAUGAUCCUAGACUUAGAAAACCAUAUAAAGAAUGUGGGAAUUGGAAAUUUCCUCUUCAGCUGUAAGAUGGUGGUUUAUGACCAUGAACAGUGACCGUAUUUCAGUUUACGGGCCGUAUUUCAAAUCGUAAACUGAAACCAAGGAUUUCUGAGCAUUCUGGAAUUUGGCAAUUUGAUGUCAAAUGGUUAAAUACGGACCGUAUUUCAAAAUACGGCCCGUAUUUCAAAAUGUAUUUGGAAUUUGGGACAACUUCCUUCAUGAAAGUUGUAGAGCUUUGAAAUACCUUUCCAACGGUAUAUUAUGGGCAUCAAACGGACAUUUGUGCAAAGCGUUAUGACCAUUUUACUAAAGAGACGCAGUGUAGUCCAUAUGUCAAAAUACGGACCGUAUUUCAAAAUACGGCCCGUAUUUCAAAAUACGGCCAGUAUUUAACUGGGCCGAAAAUCUAAUUUUUCCAGAACAGUAUAUAUUCAUCCAUAUCAGUUCAAAUCAUUAUUUUUCAUUCCUUCAAGCCCUAGAACGACUUCCUACCCUCUUCCAUCAUCAAGAACACCAAGGUAAGUCUACUCUAAUUAUUCCAAAUCAAUUCUAAUACCUAUCCUUGUAAUCUAAACAAGAAAUCAUCAUUCCAAGACUAGGGUUUUCAAGAAAACCUAUCUCAAGGUUCAAGAAUGCAAGAUUUUGGAAAUCUUCUUCAAAGCUCAAGUCUUUAAUUCAAGUUUUGGAGCAAUUAAGGUAUGUAGAACUUCCAUCCACAUGAGGGAAUCUCUACAUUCUUCCCCAUGCUCCGUUUCUUGAUAUCCAUGAAGUUCAAACCCUAGGGCAUUAAACCCAACAUAUUGGUAGCCCGUAUUUAUGUAUUUAUGUACAUGAAUUUUGAAUCUAUAUUCGUUAUUGUAUUCCUAAUCUUCCAUUACGGUUAUUAGGAACCCUAGCUUAAUCCAUGAAUCAUGAAUUCUUCCUCAUGUAUUCUCAUUAUGUUUAUAUGAAACUUUAUGAUUUUAUGUAGCAAGUUACAAGCAUGUUUUCAAGUCAAUUAUAUAUAUAUAAUUAUGAACUAUUGUUAUUACUCAUGAAUCAAGAACAUGUUUGCAAGACUACGACAAGUUAUCUCAUGAAACCAUAUUACAAGAUAUUUCAUGAAACCAUGUUUACAAGUUAUUUCAUGAAAUCAUGAUUACAAGUUAUUUACAAGUUAUUUCACGAAAAUCAUGGGCUUCUUAGCCAACUAUAUUAUGUUCAUGUUUUGGGAAUUGCUUAGUUAACCGAGAAAGCUCAGAUAGCCUGAAACUACGUAGCCACCGUAGGAUAAGGGUUGUCAGCAAGGAGGCAACACCUUCAUUAUGCAGUUUGGAUCCUUACAUGCUUAUUAUUACUUAAAUCUCAUAUCCCUGGCAAGGUUGUGAGUGUUCUGCUGGUAGGACGCAAGUACCAGACCAUGUUGUCGGUUAUACUAUAGCAUUCCCCACGUUACAAGCAGUUUACAUACAUGUAUUCCCAUUGAUUUACUGUUUUCAGACUUUACUCACGUUUUAUGCUCAUGUCCAAGUUACAUUCAGUUUCAGUUCAUGUCCUAUACCUAUACUGUGCCAUGUUCUUCAUUUCAGCAGGUUUUACAUACUAGUACUAUUCACCAUGUACUAACGUCCCUUUUUCCCGGGGCCUGCACUUCACGGUGCAGAUACCGAUUUUCAGGAGCAUACACCUGCGCAGUAGGAUCACUUCAGUUAUCAGCUUAUUGAUACCCAUUUUCAGGAGCAUACACCUGCGCAGUAGGAUCACUUCAGUUAUAAGCUUAUUGAUACCGAUUUUCAGGAGCAUGCACCUGCGCAGUAGGAUCACUUCAGUUAUCAGCUUAUUGGUGAGCCCCACUUCUCUCGGGGUUCAACAUGGAGUCUGCAUUAGUAUUCAGUUUAUGGUAGUCCAGGGCCAGGUCCUGAUAGUUAGUAUUCAGACAUGUUUUUAGAGGUUUCAUAGACAGAUAUUAGUUCACAGAGUCAGUGGUGUUUUUCCUGUUUGCAGACUAUUAUGUUUUCAUGAUAUUUUAUGCUAAGAGAUAAAUUCAAGACUUUAUUCCGCAAA